AGAGAUCAUUAGAGUGAUUGAUUACAAGGAGAAGAUUGAUUAUGAGGAAUCAUUGAAGAUUUCAUUUCACAGAAUACUAAUAGAAUGAGGUUUCUCAAAUAAAUAUCAUGCAACCGGAAGUUGAAUAGGGCCCCGGAUUUUGCCAGCUCGGCCCUAGGUGCCUCCAAACUAUUUGUCUUCUUCACCUACAAAUCAACCCAUGAUAACUGCCAAGAUGAGGCCCUCCUGCCAAAGUCGAGAUGGCCGCUCAAUCCGACGUUGAUACCCCCAGCAAAUGACUAACAACUUGCGGUUAAUGGGUUUAAUGAGAGGGGUCUGGACAAAAAGAACAUGUAAUUCGCUAGCCCACAGAACCUUCGAUGGUCAUCGUACUAAUUGACCGGUGGGCCAAUGAAGUCAGCUAUGUAAUCACAGUGCGCAUUCGUUUUCAGAUCCUAAUCCAAGCUAGUUGGCUCCAGUAUGCAUGAAGAGAUCGAAAGGCCAUGCGAAGGAUCAGUGAGGUAGCUAUGUUCAGGUUCACUCAUGCUUGUGAUGCCUGAUGCAUCACUCAAAGAAAUAUAUAGUUGUUCUCUGGUAGCUUCUCAGAGCAACCCAUCAUUUUGUAAUUUAUAGAGCUGCACUAUUUCCUGUGUUUCAUUAAGUCACACACACCUACCAAUAAUUUAUCAAAGAAGUCACGAGGAUUUGAUGCUUU